rnacentral:rRNA from 1 species
UACGUAGGUGGCAAGCGUUGUCCGGAAUUAUUGGGCGUAAAGGGCGCGUAGGCGGAUAUUUAAGUAGAAAGUGAAAGGCUGGAGCUCAACUCCAACAUUGCUUCCUAUACUGGAUGUCUUGAGUUUCGGAGAGGAAGAUGGAACGACACGUGUAGCGGUGAAAUGCGUUGAUAUGUGUCGGAACACCAAUGGCGAAGGCAAUCUUCUGGACGAAUACUGACGCUGAGGCGCGAAAGCCAAGGUAGCGAACAGG